rnacentral:tRNA from 1 species
AGCUAGGUGAUACAGUGCCCAGAAUACCUGACCUGGAGUCUGGAAGACACCAGUUCAAAUCUGGCCUCAGCUA